CUUCACUUUCUCUUCUCUCUGCCUCUUCAGUCCCAUCCCCGAUGGGCACUGCUUCCUUCUGCGGGCUGACUCUUCAUGGCUGUCACCUCACCACAGUCAGUCCUGAAGCUCCUCAGCCAAUUUUGUUUUAAUAUUUGACCUUUGCCCAUUGCCUGCCACUCCCAUUGCUCACAUUCUCUCCAUACACACACACACACACACACACACGCGCGCGCGCGCGCGCGCGCCUGCUGCCUGCUCCCCGCCCCUCCCUGCAGGGCACGUGCUAUACCAGCCUUUAAAUCCAGGUCCUCUCUGUGCACUGUGGUGCCAAGUCAGACAGGGAGGCUGUGCCCAAGGACAAGGGCUCUCAGCACCACUGAGAGGCUCACCUGGUCCCCAAUCCUUCCAUCUCUGGAAAAGCCGCACGUCACUCGUGGCCCGGGGCAUCCCUGGGGGCUCCAUCUACCAGGCAGGUGCAGGAUACAGAGAACCCAGGGGUGGAGAUACUGCUGGGCUCAUCUUUCUCAGAGGCUGGUUCUUUUUCUUUUUUUAAUCUCUGCUCCUCUCCAUAGAAGGUGAGGCUUCCAGCAUCUGGGGUGACUCUGAGGGUCACUUUGGCGUCUGCAUGGUAUACUGCUUGCUUAUUUCUCCUCGUCCAUAGUUCUCUGGCUAUAAAGCAGGGCAGGAAGGCCAGAGCGUUAGGAGUACACAGGAUGGCGUGACUUGCUCUCCCUGCCCCUAACCUGGGCCAUCAUCCCUCGGACUGCAGAGGGCUUCUGUACAACCAUGUUCCUUCUCUGAGUGAUGUCUGGAGGGCAGCAGCUUCAGCACCACCAGGGAGCUUGAUCCAUCUGCAGAAUUUCAAGCCCUACCCCAGACUUCCCGAAUCAGAAUCUCGUUUUAGUAGGAUCCCCAGGUGGUUCAGCGAGCCGAGUGGUGGGCCCCAGGGCUGGGUUCUGGCUGAGUGGUGUUACACUCAGGUGUGAGCAGUCCCGGGGCGGGAGGGUCCAGGGCCCUUGGUGAUGUGGAAGGCAAGCCCUUGAGAAUGUUCGCAGGCUCAGUGUAUUUACGGGAUAUCAAUGUGUCAGAGCAGCAACCUCUUUAUGGGGAUAGUUUAAUUAACACUAAUUGCUCUUGGCCUAUUGUGUGACUGGAGCAGGAUUUACAGAACAUCACCGUAAUCUAAAACCCUAUAAAAGUCAUUGUCUUUAGAGGCCUUGUAACUCAUGCCUGGAAACAUCUUUGGAUCUUUGAUGCAUCACCCUGAUUGUGAAUGCUGCCUGUAUUUGCAUAAUUCUCAGAGUCCUUGCAAUCUGUGGAUGAAUUGACAGAGAUUCAGUGAUUCCCAGAAGAGAGAGAGAGAAACAUGCCUCCCUUCCUCCCACAUUUAUUAGCGAGCAUUUGCCUCGCCUCAAGCCCAGAGCUGGAUGCUGGGGGACAAAGCUGCCCAAGCAGAGAUGAUUCCUGGCCUCCGGGAGCAAACAUGCCAGCGGGCUCAUCCCUUAGUGGAACAACACAAAACAGACAAGAAGGAGGCAGCAUUGAAUGUGAAAUCCCUUCCAUAUCCCACUAGAAUUAAGCUCCUGGAUGGCUGGGGCUGGGGGGAAAGCCAGUCUGGUUUGCUGAUAGAUCCCGGCACAGAGCCUGGCAUAUGCUGGUGCUCAGUUCGAAGUGAACUGAGUCUCAGUUUGCAUUACUAGCCCCAGUUCCCCCUCUUCCCUGUUCACAUCCUUACCACGAGACGAGGCAGCUCCUCUAAGGGAGGAGACUAGCUCCCUGCUGCUUGGCUGUGACCCACGGCGGGGCCAGGGAAGUACGUGACGA
ensembl:lncRNA